GCCUGGGUGGCUCAGUCGGUUAAGCGGCUGACUUCAGCUCAGGUCACGAUCUCGCGGUCCGUGAGUUCGAGCCCCGCGUCAGGCU
rnacentral:tRNA from 1 species